rnacentral:rRNA from 1 species
UACGUAGGUGGCAAGCGUUAUCCGGAAUUAUUGGGCGUAAAGCGCGCGCAGGUGGUUUCUUAAGUCUGAUGUGAAAGCCCACGGCUCAACCGUGGAGGGUCAUUGGAAACUGGGAGACUUGAGUGCAGAAGAGGAAAGUGGAAUUCCAUGUGUAGCGGCGAAAUGCGUAGAGAUAUGGAGGAACACCAGUGGCGAAGGCGACUUUCUGGUCUGUAACUGACACUGAGGCGCGAAAGCGUGGGGAGCAAACAGG